rnacentral:tRNA from 1 species
AUUCUUAUAGUUUAAUAAAAACACUUUAUUUUCAAUAAAGAAAAAGAAAUAAAUUCUUUAGAAUA